GGGCGAGUGGUGGAAUGGCAUACACGGCGGACUUAAAAUCCGCUGCCCAAAAGGCUUGAGGGUUCGAGUCCCUCCUCGCCCACCA
rnacentral:tRNA from 1 species